AGUGUAAGGGACACGCGGUGAACUGAAACAUCUCAGUAGCUGCAGGAAGAGAAAACAAAUGUGAUUCCCAUAGUAGCGGCGAGCGAAAUGGGAAGAGGCCAAACGAUCAUGCUUGCAUGAUCGGGUUGUAGGACUCAAAAAUGGACGAUUGUUGUUAGUUGAACACGUUGGAGAGCGUGGCCAAAGAAGGUGACAGCCCUGUAGGCGAAAACAACAUGAACCAAUGAGGAUCCUGAGUACGGCGGAACACGAGAAAUUCCGUCGGAAUCAGCCGGGA
rnacentral:rRNA from 1 species